GGGGGAGUGGCGAAAUCGGUAGACGCAUCGGACUUAAAAUCCGAAGGGUCGUGAGGCCCGUGUGGGUUCGAGUCCCACCUUCCCCACCA
rnacentral:tRNA from 1 species